UAAUACCGAAUGUGCUCAUUUACAUAAAGGUAAAUGAGGAAAGGAGCUACGGCUCCGCUUCAGGAUGGG
rnacentral:rRNA from 1 species